rnacentral:rRNA from 1 species
CGAACGAGAACGGUCCUAGCUUGCUAGGAUGUCAGCUAAGUGGCGGACGGGUGAGUAAUGUAUANUUAAUCUGCCCUUUAGAGAGGAAUAACUACUGGAAACGGUAGCUAAUACCUCAUACUCCUUCUUUUUUAAUAAGAGUUGGGAAAUGUUUUUUCGCUAAAGGAUGAGACUAUAUGGUAUCAGGUAGUUGGUGGGGUAAGAGCCCACCAAGCCAAUGACGCCUAGCUGGUCUGAGAGGAUGAUCAGCCACACUGGAACUGAGACACGGUCCAGACUCCUACGGGAGGCAGCAGUGGGGAAUAUUGCACAAUGGAGGGAACUCUGAUGCAGCAACGCCGCGUGGAGGAUGACACAUUUCGGUGCGUAAACUCCUUUUAUAUGGGAAGAUAAUGACGGUCCCAUAUGAAUAAGCACCGGCUAACUCCGUGCCAGCCCGGUAUACNGAGGGUGCAAGCGUUCUCGGAAUCACUGGGCGUAAGCGCCGC